rnacentral:rRNA from 1 species
UACGUAGGCAGCGAGCGUUGUUCGGAGUUACUGGGCGUAAAGAGUGCGUAGGCGGUUUUCUAAGUUUGGUGUGAAAUCUCCCGGCUCAACUGGGAGGGUGCGCCGAAGACUGGAAGGCUUGAGUAUGGGAGAGGUAAGCGGAAUUCCUGGUGUAGCGGUGAAAUGCGUAGAUAUCAGGAGGAACACCUGCGGUGUAGACGGCUUACUGGACCAUAACUGACGCUGAGGCACGAAGGCGUGGGUAGCAAACAGG